AGGUGGCUUUUAGCUACCACUUACAGAUGGACCCGCGGCGCAUUAGCUAGUUGGUGAGGUAACGGCUCACCAAGGCAACGAUGCGUACCCAACCUGAGAGGGUGAUCGGCCACACUGGGACUGAAACACGGCCCAAACUCCUACGGGAGGCAGCAGUAGGGAAUCUUCCGCAAUGGACAAAAGUCUGACGGACCACCGCCGCGGGAGUGAUGAAGGUUUUCGGAUCGUAAAACUCUGUUGUUAGGGAAAAACAAGUACCGUUCGAAUAGGGCGGUACCUUGACGGUACCUAACCAAAAAGCCACGGCUAACUACGUGCCAGCAGCCGCGGUAAUACGUAGGUGGCAAGCGUUGUCCGGAAUUAUUGGGCGUAAAGCGCGCGCAGGCGGUUUCUUAAGUCUGAUGUGAAAGCCCCCGGCUCACCCGGGGAGGGUCAUUGGAAACUGGGGAACUUGAGUGCAAAAAAGGAGAGUGGAAUUCCACGUGUAGCGGUGAAAUGCGUAAAGAUGUGGAGGACCACCAGUGGCGAAGGCGACUCUCUGGUCUGUAACUGACGCUGAGGCGCGAAAGCGUGGGGAGCGAACAGGAUUAGAUACCCUGGUAGUCCACGCCGUAAACGAUGAGUGCUAAGUGUUAGAGGGUUUCCGCCCUUUUAGUGCUGCAGCAAACGCAUUAAGCACUCCGCCUGGGGAGUACGGUCGCAAGACUGAAACUCAAAGGAAUUGACGGGGGGCCCGCACAAGCGGUGGAGCAUGUGGUAA
rnacentral:rRNA from 2 species